GACGAACGCUGGCGGCGUGCUUAACACAUGCAAGUCGAACGGAAAGGCCCUGCUUUUGUGGGGUGCUCGAGUGGCGAACGGGUGAGUAACACGUGAGUAACCUGCCCUUGACUUUGGGAUAACUUCAGGAAACUGGGGCUAAUACCGGAUAGGAGCUCCUGCUGCAUGGUGGGGGUUGGAAAGUUUCGGCGGUUGGGGAUGGACUCGCGGCUUAUCAGCUUGUUGGUGGGGUAGUGGCUUACCAAGGCUUUGACGGGUAGCCGGCCUGAGAGGGUGACCGGCCACAUUGGGACUGAGUUACGGCCCAGACUCCUACGGGCGGCAGCAGUGGGGAAUAUUGCACAAUGGGCGGAAGCCUGAUGCAGCAACGCCGCGUGCGGGAUGACGGCCUUCGGGUUGUAAACCGCUUUCGCCUGUGACGAAGCGUGAGUGACGGUAAUGGGUAAAGAAGCACCGGCUAACUACGUG
rnacentral:rRNA from 1 species